rnacentral:rRNA from 1 species
CAGCAGCCGCGGGAAAACGUAGGGGGCGAGCGUUGUCCGAAGUUACUGGGCGUAAAGAGCGCGUAGGCUGGUCUUUAAGUGAGUGGUGAAAGGUUCGGGCUCAACCCGGACACUGCCUUUCAUACUGGGGACCUUGAGUGUGGGAGAGGCGAGUGGAAUGGUCGGUGUAGCGGUGAAAUGCGUAGAUAUCGAUCGGAACACCCAUGGCGAAGGCAGCUCGCUGGCCUAACACUGACGCUGAGGCGCGAAAGCGUGGGGAGCAAACAGGAUUAGAUACCCCCGUAGUCCCUGUCUCUUAUAC